GAUGAACGCUGGCGGCGUGCCUAAUACAUGCAAGUCGAGCGAACAGAUAAGGAGCUUGCUCCUUUGACGUUAGCGGCGGACGGGUGAGUAACACGUGGGUAACCUACCUAUAAGACUGGGAUAACUUCGGGAAACCGGAGCUAAUACCGGAUAACAUUUGGAACCGCAUGGUUCUAAAGUGAUAGAUGGUUUUGCUAUCACUUAUAGAUGGUCCCGCGCCGUAUUAGCUAGUUGGUAAGGUAACGGCUUACCAAGGCAACGAUACGUAGCCGACCUGAGAGGAUGAUCAGCCACACUGGAACUGAGACACGGUCCAGACUCCUACGGGAGGCAGCAGUAGGGAAUCUUCGGCAAUGGGCGAAAGCCUGACGGAGCAACGCCGCGUGAGUGAUGAAGGGUUUCGGCUCGUAAAGCUCUGUUAUUAGGGAGGAACGGACGUGUAAGUAAAUGUGCACGUCUUGACGGUACCUAAUCAGAAAGCCACGGCUAACUACGUG
rnacentral:rRNA from 1 species